rnacentral:rRNA from 1 species
GACAGAGGGGGCAAGCGUUGCUCGGAAUUACUGGGCGUAAAGGGCGCGUAGGCGGGAUGGCAAGUCGGUCGUGAAAUCCCUCGGCUCAACUGAGGAUCGUCGAUCGAUACUGCCGUUCUUGAGGAUUGCAGAGGAGACUGGAGUUCCCGGUGUAGCGGUGAAAUGUGUAGAGAUCGGGAGGAACACCGGUGGCGAAGGCGGGUCUCUGGGCCAUUACUGACGCUGAGGAGCGAAAGCGUGGGGAGCGAACAGG